UAGAGUUUGAUCCUGGCUCAGGAUGAACGCUAGCGGCAGGCUUAAUACAUGCAAGUCGAGGGGCAGCAUGACUGUAGCAAUACAGUUGAUGGCGACCGGCAAACGGGUGCGGAACACGUACAGAACCUUCCUUCGAGCGGGGGAUAGCCCAGAGAAAUUUGGAUUAAUACCCCAUAGUAUAUCGGAGUGGCAUCACUUUGAUAUUAAAGAUUUAUCACUUGAAGAUGGCUGUGCGGCUGAUUAGGUAGUUGGCGGGGUAACGGCCCACCAAGCCUGCGAUCAGUAACUGGUGUGAGAGCACGACCAGUCACACGGGCACUGAGACACGGGCCCGACUCCUACGGGAGGCAGCAGUAAGGAAUAUUGGUCAAUGGACGAAAGUCUGAACCAGCCAUGCCGCGUGGAGGAUGAAGGUCCUCUGGAUUGUAAACUUCUUUUAUAUGGGACGAAAAAAGGCUUUUCUAAGUCGUCUGACGGUACCAUAUGGAUAAGCACCGGCUAACUCCGUGCCAGCAGCCCCGGUCAA
rnacentral:rRNA from 1 species